CUAUAUUGACGUGGGUUUAUUUGGAAACUUAACAAAUAACAUUUUUUGUGUACUUUGCUCAAUCUCAACAAAAUAUAAUACAGAACCCAUAUUCCAAAACCCAUAUUAAAUAAGAGAGGUGGGUUUAUAAUACAGAACCCACAAAACCCAUGUAUAAUCUCUCACAGAACAACAUCAAUUCCAUAACUAAACAUAUAAUCACAGCCAAUUUCAACAAUGGAACAAUAAAUGUUCAAAACCUUAAAGAGAUAUCAAACAACAAAGUACAUAUACAAUUGGAAAGUUCUGUGUUGGUAAUCCAUACAUAGACGUAAUCUACACACCUCUAUUUCGAGUUCGGAUGCUCCGACAUCAGGAUUCUCCUUGUCCCUGUUUUUAGAGCAAAAGUUGGGCUGCAGUGAUAAUAUCACAUAACUGUAAGCAAUCAAAUUAACUACCAAAUGUUGAGGUAACAUGUAGAACUCAGAGCAAAUUUCUGGACUAAAUUGGUCACGAACUGACUAUGUGACUAAUUUCUACACAACUGAGUGACUGACUGUGUUCGAUAUCAACUAAAAUUAUUAGCAUAGAAAUGAGACACAGAAACUAAAAAAGCUUGCAAUAGCCAUCAUACAAACAAACGCCACACAUAUCCGGAAGCUCAAAGACCUCUCGAAUCUCAGAUCAUCCUUACUGCUUAAAUUCUUUGCAGCAUUUUCUAAAACCCUAACCCCUCUCUUCAAUUUACAGUGCCGGAUUGGCUCUGUUGAACGCAUCGUACGAUUCAUCUCGAUAUUUGCCACCACUCGGGAUGCAAUUAAUAGUGGUGCUAAAGCUCAAAGACCUCUCAAAUCUCAGAUCAUCCUCACUGCUUAAAUUCUUUGCAGCAUUUUCUAAAACCCUAACCCCUCUCUUCAAUUUACAGCGUUGGAUUGGCUCUGUUGAACGCAUCGUACGAUUGGUCUCGAUAUUUGCCCCCGCCGCCUUCUCCCUCUCCAAUUGACCACCAUCUUCUACCUUCAAACGAUUCAGUUAUUUGUUUAGAGAGAGAGAGAGUAGUGGGCUGAUUUCAGGGGUAGAUCUGCUCUCUUAACAGCAACGAGGAAGAAGAAGACCUAUUUUAGACAUUUACCCUUCUUUUUGACUAUUACAGGCCCCUUUUCACGCACUUUAGGCGUGUGACAUACACGCACAGUUAAG
rnacentral:lncRNA from 1 species